rnacentral:rRNA from 1 species
GGCCUAACACAUGCAAGUCGAGCGGAAACGACACUAACAAUCCUUCGGGUGCGUUAAUGGGCGUCGAGCGGCGGACGGGUGAGUAAUGCCUAGGAAAUUGCCUUGAUGUGGGGGAUAACCAUUGGAAACGAUGGCUAAUACCGCAUGAUGCCUACGGGCCAAAGAGGGGGACCUUCGGGCCUCUCGCGUCAAGAUAUGCCUAGGUGGGAUUAGCUAGUUGGUGAGGUAAUGGCUCACCAAGGCGACGAUCCCUAGCUGGUCUGAGAGGAUGAUCAGCCACACUGGAACUGAGACACGGUCCAGACUCCUACGGGAGGCAGCAGUGGGGAAUAUUGCACAAUGGGCGAAAGCCUGAUGCAGCCAUGCCGCGUGUAUGAAGAAGGCCUUCGGGUUGUAAAGUACUUUCAGUUGUGAGGAAGGGUGUGUAGUUAAUAGCUGCGCAUCUUGACGUUAGCAACAGAAGAAGCACCGGCUAACUCCGUGCCAGCAGCCGCGGUAAUACGGAGGGUGCGAGCGUUAAUCGGAAUUACUGGGCGUAAAGCGCAUGCAGGUGGUUCAUUAAGUCAGAUGUGAAAGCCCGGGGCUCAACCUCGGAACUGCAUUUGAAACUGGUGAACUAGAGUACUGUAGAGGGGGGUAGAAUUUCAGGUGUAGCGGUGAAAUGCGUAGAGAUCUGAAGGAAUACCAGUGGCGAAGGCGGCCCCCUGGACAGAUACUGACACUCAGAUGCGAAAGCGUGGGGAGCAAACAGGAU